UAAGGAAUAUUGCGCAAUGGGGGAAACCCUGACGCAGCAACGCCGCGUGGAGGAUGACACUUUUCGGAGCGUAAACUCCUUUUAUCAGGAAAGAAUAAUGACGGUACCUGAUGAAUAAGCACCGGCUAACUCCGUGCCAGCAGCCGCGGUAAUGCGGGGGGUGCAAGCGUUACUCGGAAUCACUGGGCGUAAAGGACGCGUAGGCGGAUUAUCAAGUCUUUUGUGAAAUCUAGUGGCUUAACCACUAAACUGCUUAGGAAACUGAUAGUCUAGAGUAGGGGAGAGGUAGAUGGAAUUCUUGGUGUAGGGGUAAAAUCCGUAGAGAUCAAGAAGAAUACCCAUUGCGAAAGCGAUCUGCUGGAACCUAACUGACGCUGAGGCGUGAAAGCGUGGGUAGCAAACAGG
rnacentral:rRNA from 1 species